CCGAAAUACCAUUGCGUCUAUGCGUGUCUGCUAUAUAUAUAUAUAUAUUUGUGUGCUUGUGUGUGUUCCGAAACUUGCGAAAAGUGGUUCGUUUAAACGGGUUACGUAUGAAUUUUGAAUUUCUCUAUAGUCUUCAUCGUCUUCCCAUAGCUGAAUCGCGUUGGUGUACGUGGAUGUACCAACCCCCGUUGUAUUGCGUAGACGUCGUGAAAUAAAAAUUGGAAUGAAAAGGAACGAUUAUUCGCGGCAGAAGAAGAAGAAGAAUAAGAAGAAGAGGAACGUCAUCAUUGAUCGUCGAGGGAAGAAUAAACAUA
rnacentral:lncRNA from 1 species